UGGGGCUGGGGACCUUGCAGGUUUUCUGGAGUUUGGUGUAUGUCUUACAUACUGCUGUGUUGAACAACCAAGCCCAAGUACAAACCACAGAAUUGCAAGGAUCAGAGGGAACCUCAAGAGAUCACUGGAUCCAACUCAUCUCCCGACAAUAGUUCACACAGAUCAUUGGAGAACCUCAGAUGAUGCUUUCUGCUCCGCACUUUUUGCAGUUAUUCUGCAUCCCCUUUGCAUUACAGUGUUCAAGUCAGCCUCGUACUCUAGAUGGGGCUUUUCCAGCUUUGAGUGAAUUAAAAAAAUUCAUCUGAA